UACGAAAGGUGCAAGCGUUACUCGGAAUCACUGGGCGUAAAGCGCACGUAGGCGGACUCGUAGGUCAAUUGUGAAAUACCUGGGCUCAACCCGGGAACUGCAGUUGAAACCGCUUGUCUUGAAUACCUGAGAGGGUGGGGGAAUACCUGGUGGAGAAGUGAAAUUCGUAGAGAUCAGGUGGAACACCGGAGGCGAAGGCGCCUGCCUGGCAGUGUAUUGACGCUGAGGUGCGAAAGUUGCGGGGAGCAAACAGG
rnacentral:rRNA from 1 species